AUACGGAGGGGGCUAGCGUUGUUCGGAAUUACUGGGCGUAAAGGGCGUGUAGGCGGCUUGUCUAGUCAGAGGUGAAAUCCCCAGGCUCAACCUGGGAACUGCCUUUGAAACUGGCAGGCUAGAGACCGGAAGAGGGUAGUGGAAUUCCCAGUGUAGAGGUGAAAUUCGUAGAUAUUGGGAAGAACGCCAGUGGCGAAGGCGACUACCUGGUCCGGAUCUGACGCUGAGGCGCGAAAGCGUGGGGAGCAAACAGGAUUAGAAACCCGAGUAGUCC
rnacentral:rRNA from 1 species